rnacentral:rRNA from 1 species
UUCGCCCUUAGAGUUUGAUCCUGGCUCAGGACGAACGCUGGCGGCGCGCCUAACACAUGCAAGUCGAACGAGCGAGAGAGAGCUUGCUUUCUCGAGCGAGUGGCGAACGGGUGAGUAACGCGUGAGGAACCUGCCUCAAAGAGGGGGACAACAGUUGGAAACGACUGCUAAUACCGCAUAAGCCCACGGCUCGGCAUCGAGCAGAGGGAAAAGGAGCAAUCCGCUUUGAGAUGGCCUCGCGUCCGAUUAGCUAGUUGGUGAGGUAAUGGCCCACCAAGGCGACGAUCGGUAGCCGGACUGAGAGGUUGAACGGCCACAUUGGGACUGAGACACGGCCCAGACUCCUACGGGAGGCAGCAGUGGGGAAUAUUGCACAAUGGGGGAAACCCUGAUGCAGCGACGCCGCGUGGAGGAAGAAGGUCUUCGGAUUGUAAACUCCUGUUGUUGAGGAAGAUAAUGACGGUACUCAACAAGGAAGUGACGGCUAACUACGUGCCAGCAGCCGCGGUAAAACGUAGGUCACAAGCGUUGUCCGGAAUUACUGGGUGUAAAGGGAGCGCAGGCGGGAAGACAAGUUGGAAGUGAAAUCUAUGGGCUCAACCCAUAAACUGCUUUCAAAACUGUUUUUCUUGAGUAGUGCAGAGGUAGGCGGAAUUCCCGGUGUAGCGGUGGAAUGCGUAGAUAUCGGGAGGAACACCAGUGGCGAAGGCGGCCUACUGGGCACCAACUGACGCUGAGGCUCGAAAGUGUGGGUAGCAAACAGGAUUAGAUACCCUGGUAGUCCACACCGUAAACGAUGAUUACUAGGUGUUGGAGGAUUGACCCCUUCAGUGCCGCAGUUAACACAAUAAGUAAUCCACCUGGGGAGUGCGACCGCAAGGUUGAAACUCAAAGGAAUUGACGGGGGCCCGCACAAGCAGUGGAGUAUGUGGUUUAAUUCGACGCAACGCGAAGAACCUUACCAAGUCUUGACAUCCUGCGACGCACAUAGAAAUAUGUGUUUCCUUCGGGACGCAGAGACAGGUGGUGCAUGGUUGUCGUCAGCUCGUGUCGUGAGAUGUUGGGUUAAGUCCCGCAACGAGCGCAACCCUUACUGUCAGUUACUACGCGAGAGGACUCUGGCAGGACUGCCGUUGACAAAACGGAGGAAGGUGGGGAUGACGUCAAAUCAUCAUGCCCUUUAUGACUUGGGCUACACACGUACUACAAUGGCGUUAAACAAAGAGAAGCAAGACCGCGAGGUGGAGCAAAACUCAGAAACAACGUCCCAGUUCGGACUGCAGGCUGCAACUCGCCUGCACGAAGUCGGAAUUGCUAGUAAUCGUGGAUCAGCAUGCCACGGUGAAUACGUUCCCGGGCCUUGCACUCACCGCCCGUCA